rnacentral:rRNA from 1 species
UGGGGAAUAUUGCACAAUGGGCGGAAGCCUGAUGCAGCGACGCCGCGUGAGGGAUGACGGCCUUCGGGUUGUAAACCUCUUUCAGUAGGGACGAAGCGUAAGUGACGGUACCUGCAGAAGAAGCACCGGCUAACUACGUGCCAGCAGCCGCGGUAAUACGUAGGGUGCGAGCGUUGUCCGGAAUUACUGGGCGUAAAGAGCUCGUAGGCGGUUUGUCACGUCGUCUGUGAAAUCCUAGGGCUUAACCCUGGACGUGCAGGCGAUACGGGCUGACUUGAGUACUACAGGGGAGACUGGAAUUUCUUGUGUAGCGGUGGAAUGCACAGAUAUCAGGAAGAACACCGAUGGCGAAGGCAGGUCUCUGGGUAGUAACUGACGCUGAGGAGCGAAAGCAUGGGUAGCGAACAGG